UACGGGGGGGGCAAGCGUUGUUCGGAAUUACUGGGCGUAAAGGGUGCGUAGGCGGCCUUGUAAGUGGGGUGUGAAAUCCCUCGGCUCAACCGAGGAACGGCGCUCCAAACUACAAGGCUUGAGGGAGACAGGGGUCAGCGGAACUGAUGGUGGAGCGGUGAAAUGCGUUGAUAUCAUCAGGAACACCGGUGGCGAAAGCGGCUGACUGGGUCUCUUCUGACGCUGAGGUACGAAAGCUAGGGUAGCGAACGGG
rnacentral:rRNA from 1 species